GGACCUAAUCGACACGUGGCCACUGGGGAGCGUGGUAACACAGGGCUGCCAUGCCUCCGUCGCCGCGAUUUGGACUCACAAGGAUGAUCCAGACACUCUCUCCUACUGCUCUCCUCCCAAUCUCGAUUCUAUGCACAAGGUUACUAGUUUCUAAUUCAAUUAUUGUUAUUGAUGCCGAUGCUAAUAAUUCCUUAAUUGAUGCUUCGCGUUGGUUAAUUUCGCCCUAUGCUAGAUUAGUAGAGAAGUAAUUUUAUUUAGCUGUCUAGUUUGUAGUUUGGUGGAGAGCAACAUUUGACUUGAUGAGAAUAACUGGUUAGUGGAUGUUGAGGAGUUAAUCAAUUGACUCGAUAUUAUCGUGCCAUUUGAAAGUAAUCUAAUGAUUCUAAGAGGAGUUUGGAUAGUGAGACUAUUAAAAGCUUCACAAGCUAGGGAAGCUGCUAUUCAGGUUUUGUCAUAACUAACUAUAUAUUGUAAUUGGAUAGGUAAUUAGGGAUUUGAAUGAGUAAAAUGUUUAUGAGUUUCGGUUGAAGGAACUGGUAAGAGCGAGUGCAGUGUGUGUGCUCCGGUUCACAUAUGUAGACGUACAUAAGCCUAGGAGCUUGAUGGCGUUCAGGAUUCAUCGUGGAUCAGUUAGCUGAGAAUAGAACCUUGGUGAACAGGUCACUCUUGAAGUAAAGGGUGAAACUCAGUUAUUAAACUUGUCGGAGAAGCUAAAAGCCGGUGGCGUCGCUCAUAAGCUGUGGAUAGAACAACCUGAGAACUUUGCUACUUGCCUCGCUACAAAGCCUUGCCCGAAAUCCG